GACGAACGCUGGCGGCGUGCUUAACACAUGCAAGUCACGGGGGCCCGCAAGGGCAACCGGCGAACGGGUGCGUAACACGUGAGCAAGCUUCCGAUUUGUGGGGGAUAGCCGGCCUAACGGCCGGGUAAUACCGCAUACGUUCCUUGAGCGGCAUCGCUUGGGGAGGAAACCUCCGGGGCAAAUCGAGGCGCUCGCGGCCUAUCAGCUAGUUGGCGGGGUAAUGGCCCACCAAGGCGACGACGGGUAGCUGGUCUGAGAGGAUGACCAGCCACAUUGGGACUGAGACACGGCCCAGACUCCUACGGGAGGCAGCAGUGGGGAAUAUUGCGCAAUGGACGAAAGUCUGACGCAGCGACGCCGCGUGUGGGAUGAAGCUCUUCGGGGCGUAAACCACUGUUGCCCGGGACGAAAAGCCCUUUCGAGGGAAUUGACGGUACCGGGUGAGGAAGCACCGGCUAACUCUGUGCCAGCAGCCGCCGUAAUAC
rnacentral:rRNA from 1 species